ensembl:lncRNA
CUAAUAUUGUAACUAGCGCAGUUGCUAGUAAAGAGCUAGCUAGUUACUCUAAGAUUGUAACUAGCGCAGUUGCUAGUAAAGAGCUAGCUAGUUACUCUAAGAUUGUAACUAGCCCAGUUGCUAGUAAAGAGCUAGCUAAUAUUGUAAAUAGCUCAGUUGCUAAUAAAGAGCUAUCUAAUAUUGUAAAUAGCUCAGUUGCUAGUAAAGAGCUAGCUAGUUACUCUAAGAUUGUGUUUUAGCAUUAAACAUCGUAUCCUAAUCAAUAUCUUUUAAAGAAAAAAACAUAUCAGUGCCAACCGAAUUAAUGUUUGUCUUUAAAAAUGGAUUAGCAUAUGUAGCUAUUACUAGCAUGUUGACUAGGAAGCUAGUUUGCUAGCUAGCCCUGUUUGUGUUGCACAGCGAAAUAGUUCAUGUAACCCUGUUGCGAUUUAUAAACGUGUUCCCAAACCGUCGUAUCCGCCGGUGCAAUUCCUCAUCUCGUUGAACUUGCGAUGUCAUUUCCUGUCCGCUGUCUCACACUGGAUAUUGUUUCUCCCCCUCAUGUAAUGGAUUGUGAAUGAAAGUAAGCACGAGGUUAAAUAUUUACUACGCACGGUGGCAGUAAAAUAAAGAGACGAAACUUUGAACUUGCCCAUGAGUUUGAACACGCAAUGAACGACGUGAGAAGCUAAAACCGUGAGUACGGGAAUAUUUACAUUGUUUCCUGAGUGAUAUCGGAAUGUACUACGCCACGAGUGAUUAUUUUAAAAAACGUAGUGUCUGUAACGAUGGUUUGGAAAUCAGGUCUUUACGAUCUCCGACUGAACGUGUAGCAGUUUUUAAUAACGAGGCACGGCGGCCAUUUUGUUGACUUUCUUUCUUUCGACGCAGUGCAGAACAUGUAUAUCCAGUGAUGUAUGAACCCUGUCCUUAGACAUGUCAUGAAUCAACCGGUGUUUGAUUUUUUUUUUUUUGUUUACAGCCGCCUCGAAGUUCAGACGCUGCUGGUUCCAAAAAUGAGUUCGGCUCCGUACUCACACGGAGAUAAAAGACAGGCUGAUAAAAGGAGAGAGUUCCGGAAGCGUGACUGGUCCAUCGAGCAACCUCCUCUCUUGCCAGAGGAAGACUCUCAUCCUCAAUCAUCAGGACCCGACGGCGUACAUGAAGGGCAACGUGUCAAGAGCGAGACCGGUUCCAUUCCAAAAUGACGACAAGGAGGACAAAACGUGAGUAGUUUGGGGACGAGCCUGAGGGCCACCGAGAGGACAACACGAAUGCCACGUCUUCAAAGUGUGCUUUAUGUAAUAAGGAUACAGGAAACUGUCAUUCAUCCUCUACUUUUUUUUUUUUUUUCUUUUUACCCUGUUGUGAUUGAUGCCCUUUAGUGUCGGACGUGUUCAAUUUGUGUGCUUACUUUCUCAGUUUGUGAUUGGUGUAUAAUCUCUUCUGUCUUGUAGAGCUGGGAUAAUGCAUGUGUGAUCUGCUGAAAAGAUGACGAACUGUUCGUCCUUAUUCCAGCAACAGAGCAUAUAAACACAGACCUACACCCAAUUUAACUGGUAACACCUAAACAACGAGUUCAUUUUAUGAAUUUAAAGGAUUUGCUGUGACAUGUUUUGUUCUUGUUGUUGUUGUUUUUUUUUUUGCAUUUAAAAAAACUUCCUAUAUUUACAGCAUUAAUUCCAAGUGAUUGUAAUUCUAUAAUCGUCCACUAGAGGCCACUAGACAGAUAGCGAAAACUGACUUGGGGGGGACAUUUCAUAUGAAAAAAGAAGAGAGACAGAAAGAUGGAAACAGAUGCGGUCAUUAUGAUGGCGGUGUGUAUUCACCACAGCACAACAAUGGCAGAGAUGUUUUUCAGACAAAGACAGAGAACGAUGGAUUCUUUGAAUCGUAUCUUCUUAUACCUAUUUUAUGUACUGAGUUUUUUUCUUCUUCUUCUUUUGUUCUGUUCUCUCUGAAUAUGGCCUAUUCAGCGAGGCUGAUGCACUCUGUAAAUAAAU